rnacentral:rRNA from 1 species
UACGUAGGGGCCUAGCGUUGUCCGGAUUUAUUGGGCGUAAAGAGCUCGUAGGCGGCUUGUCACGUCGGGUGUGAAAGCCCGGGGCUUAACCCCGGGUCUGCAUUCGAUACGGGCUGGCUGGAGUGUGGUAGGGGAGAUCGGAACUCCUGGUGUAGCGGUGAAAUGCGCAGAUAUCAGGAGGAACACCGGUGGCGAAGGCGGAUCUCUGGGCCAUUACUGACGCUGAGGAGCGAAAGCGUGGGGAGCGAACAGG